CGGGUCUGACACGGAUCGCUCCAUCAUUCUGUCGUGAAGGAAUAUGGACCAGUAGCAGUGUAAGAGCUGGAUUGGAAAAACAGCCGUGCCACAGACAGACAGCAGGGAGAUGUAAACACAGAUUGGAUGUGAUUUUCCUCGCGAGACAGAGAAACAGCAGGAUUUUUCCAACCUGUGGAGUGGAGCUGUGCAGCUGCGUCACCAGGAGGUCCAGGUUUGCUGCAGACCGGAAGGAGGCUACGGUCCAUCCACACCAGAACCUCUUCCCUCUGGCAGGAGGCUACGGUCCAUCCAGACCAGAACCUCUUCCCUCUGGCAGGAGGCUACGGUCCAUCCAGACCAGAACCUCUUCCCUCUGGCAGGAGGCUACGGUCCAUCCACACCAGAACCUCUUCCCUCUGGCAGGAGGCUACGGUCCAUCCACACCAGAACCUCUUCCUUCUGGCAGGAGGCUACGGUCCAUCCACACCAGAACCUCUUCCCUCUGGCAGGAGGCUACGGUCCAUCCAGACCAGAACCUCUUCCCUCUGGCAGGAGGCUACGGUCCAUCCACACCAGAACCUCCCGUCACAGGAACAGCUUCUUCCCUUUGGCCGUCAGAUGGUUGAAUUAUUUAAUUUUAUUUUUUCUGUCAGCACUUUAUUCCAAAACACUUUCCUAGUUGGUGGGAUCCCCACUGACCAUGGCAAUAAAUUUCAUUCUGAUUCCGUGCGCUCACCAGGCUUGUUCACAGUAGGUUUCUCUGGAAGCACUUGCCUGCAUCACGGUGUAACUUAGGGCAGUGUAUGGAAACUACAUUGUGCAGAAUGAAAAUGACUAUAUCACAGAGUCAAACUGUUUCUUCAAAUGA